UGAGCUGAACUUCUCAGAGGAAUCCAGACCCAUCUACCAGCAGUCUCUAAUUUCUUCUCAGUUCUUGAACUGAGAUUUGAGAGAGCAGACGCAGUAGAGAUGGAGAUGGGGCACUGAAAGAGAAGAGAAAGAGCUGCAAGGGGACAGAAACAUUUCAGUGAAGAUUGGUUUGUGGCCAGGGUGCAGAAGGAUAACCAGGAAGAGCCUCAUGCUGUACCUCAGAUGUGCAGAGGAGCUGUUUUUCAUUCCUAAGCAAUUAAGGUCACUUCAGCAGUGACUUGUUCUGACAGAGUCUUAAAACUCGUAUGUAACGUUAGGAAAAAUGGAAACAAAAUGCUGAUUGCUUUGGAUUUACAUUGACUGACACUUGAGUGCACCAUGACACAAAAAUACAGUUCAUCACUCUGACAGUAAUUUCCCUGCAAAGACAGCCUUAGAAAGUUGAGGGUGUGCAGAUAGAUGUUCAAUCUUGAUGUAUCAUGAAGAACUGGGGAAGAAAUAAGCACAGCUGCGUAAUUGGCAGGGACAGAGAUUGGCAUCAGGUGCCUUUACAAUGGACUGAAAGGCAGAGAUGUCACUCCUGCAUCAGCAUUUGGCAGAUGGGGAAGGAAAGGACAGGAAACCAUGUUCUGGAUAAAACAG